AGGGUACCCCCCGGAGUGGAGGCGGCGGCUUAAAUUGACUCACCAAGGGAAAAAUCACCCGGGCCGGACACUGGAAGGAUUGACAGAAUGAGAGCUCUUUCUUGAUUCAAUGGGGGGUGGUGAAGGGCCGUUCUUAGUUGGGGGAGUGAUUUGUCUGGUUAAUUCCGAUAACGAACGAGACUCUAGCCUAUUAAAUAGAUCGCUGGCUUACCAACGCCGGCGAGACUUCUUACAGGGACGGGCGGCGAUUCAGCCGCCUGAAACUGAGCAAUAUCAGGUCUGUGAUGCCCUUCCAUGCCCGGGGCCGGACGCGCGCUACACUGAAGUGAUCAGCGUGAAUUUUGAAAACUACUCUGUCAAGAGUGGGGAACCCAAUGAACCUUCUUCGCGAUUGCAGGAUCAUACAGAAAUAUAAAAAAAAAAACCCCCCUAUUUUUACCCAUAAAACAAAUCCCAACCCAGUAAAUCCCCCCCGGAAAAUUUCCCUUUUUAUUGGGGGGGCCCCCCCCCCCCCCCCCC
rnacentral:rRNA from 1 species